UGGACUACGUUUCCCAGGGUGCUGCGGGCAGGGGCGGUCGCCGCGGGCUUCUCAAGCUCCUGGGGCCACAGAUGCUGUGGAUUCCAGAUCCAGUGCGUGCUGCAGGUUCAGGUGUGAUCUAUUGUAAAGAAGCUUGGCCAAUUAGCUCUUCCUGGGGCGAGACAGAGCAUUUCGCCAGAGUCAUAGUCUCUUUGCCCUAGGUGUGAGCGGAUACAGAUCCCACAGAUACAAUGUAUAUUUGAAGGUAUCUUUGCUUGCCAAAAGAAGAUAGCAAGGAAAAGAACAGCUUAGUGGCAAGUAGGUGUCACUGUAUCCUUUAGCAUCUGAGAGCCACUGCAGCCUCACCAGCCCUGAGCCCUUGGGUGAUGCAGAAGAUCCAGUGACUUGGAGCAGGGAAUGUGUUUCUGACAUGGAAAGGAAGGACCCAAGAAACUUCCCUUCAGACUGUUUUCUGUGAGCAGCUUCUUUGCCUGUAUUCUCGAAGUUACUGGCCUGGGGAAAUGACUCUGUGGGUGAAGGUGCUGGCUGACCAGCCUAAUGAUCUGAGUUUGAUCCCUGGAAGCCACAUGGUAAAAGAAGAGAACUGACUCCCACAAGUUGUCCUCUGACUACAUGUGUAGUCCCCAAAUGAAUAAAUGUUUAAAAUUGUUAAAAAAACAAGUCUGCUACUGUGUAAAAUACUCAUUCAUGGCACUCUAGUUUGAAAAUUGUCUCCUUUGUGCUGGCUCUCAU